UCUGGUAUUGAUUGGUGCUUGCAUCAUGAUUUACAUUUGAGUGAGUGGCGAACUGGUGAGUAACACGUGGGAAACCUGCCCAGAAGCGGGGGAUAACACCUGGAAACAGAUGCUAAUACCGCAUAACAACUUGGACCGCAUGGUCCGAGUUUGAAAGAUGGCUUCGGCUAUCACUUUUGGAUGGUCCCGCGGCGUAUUAGCUAGAUGGUGGGGUAACGGCUCACCAUGGCAAUGAUACGUAGCCGACCUGAGAGGGUAAUCGGCCACAUUGGGACUGAGACACGGCCCAAACUCCUACGGGAGGCAGCAGUAGGGAAUCUUCCACAAUGGACGAAAGUCUGAUGGAGCAACGCCGCGUGAGUGAAGAAGGGUUUCGGCUCGUAAAACUCUGUUGUUAAAGAAGAACAUAUCUGAGAGUAACUGUUCAGGUAUUGACGGUAUUUAACCAGAAAGCCACGGCUAACUACGUGCCAGCAGCCGCGGUAAUACGUAGGUGGCAAGCGUUGUCCGGAUUUAUUGGGCGUAAAGCGAGCGCAGGCGGUUUUUUAAGUCUGAUGUGAAAGCCUUCGGCUCAACCGAAGAAGUGCAUCGGAAACUGGGAAACUUGAGUGCAGAAGAGGACAGUGGAACUCCAUGUGUAGCGGUGAAAUGCGUAGAUAUAUGGAAGAACACCAGUGGCGAAGGCGGCUGUCUGGUCUGUAACUGACGCUGAGGCUCGAAAGUAUGGGUAGCAAACAGGAUUAGAUACCCUGGUAGUCCAUACCGUAAACGAUGAAUGCUAAGUGUUGGAGGGUUUCCGCCCUUCAGUGCUGCAGCUAACGCAUUAAGCAUUCCGCCUGGGGAGUACGGCCGCAAGGCUGAAACUCAAAGGAAUUGACGGGGGCCCGCACAAGCGGUGGAGCAUGUGGUUUAAUUCGAAGCUACGCGAAGAACCUUACCAGGUCUUGACAUACUAUGCAAAUCUAAGAGAUUAGACGUUCCCUUCGGGGACAUGGAUACAGGUGGUGCAUGGUUGUCGUCAGCUCGUGUCGUGAGAUGUUGGGUUAAGUCCCGCAACGAGCGCAACCCUUAUUAUCAGUUGCCAGCAUUAAGUUGGGCACUCUGGUGAGACUGCCGGUGACAAACCGGAGGAAGGUGGGGAUGACGUCAAAUCAUCAUGCCCCUUAUGACCUGGGCUACACACGUGCUACAAUGGAUGGUACAACGAGUUGCGAACUCGCGAGAGUAAGCUAAUCUCUUAAAGCCAUUCUCAGUUCGGAUUGUAGGCUGCAACUCGCCUACAUGAAGUCGGAAUCGCUAGUAAUCGCGGAUCAGCAUGCCGCGGUGAAUACGUUCCCGGGCCUUGUACACACCGCCCGUCACACCAUGAGAGUUUGUAACACCCAAAGUCGGUGGGGUAACCUUUAG
rnacentral:rRNA from 2 species